rnacentral:rRNA from 1 species
UUGUCUCAAAGAUUAAGCCAUGCAUGUCUCAGUACAAGCCUAAUUAAGGUGAAACCGCGAAAGGCUCAUUAAAUCAGUUAUGGUUCCUUAGAUCGUACCCACAUUUACUUGGAUAACUGUGGUAAUUCUAGAGCUAAUACAUGCAAACAGAGCUCCGACCGGAGACGGAAGGAGCGCUUUUAUUAGAUCAAAACCAAUCGGCGGCGGGCGCGAGCUCGUCGUCGUUCUAUAUGGCGAAUCUGAAUAACUUUGUGCUGAUCGCACGGUCUAGCACCGGCGACGCAUCUUUCAAAUGUCUGCCUUAUCAACUGUCGAUGGUAGGUUCUGUGCCUACCAUGGUUGUAACGGGUAACGGGGAAUCAGGGUUCGAUUCCGGAGAGGGAGCCUGAGAAACGGCUACCACAUCCAAGGAAGGCAGCAGGCGCGCAAAUUACCCACUCCCGGCACGGGGAGGUAGUGACGAAAAAUAACGAUACGGGACUCAUCCGAGGCCCCGUAAUCGGAAUGAGUACACUCUAAAUCCUUUAACGAGGAUCAAUUGGAGGGCAAGUCUGGUGCCAGCAGCCGCGGUAAUUCCAGCUCCAAUAGCGUAUAUUAAAGUUGUUGCGUUUAAAAAGCUCGUAGUCGAAUCUGUGUCCCGCGCCGCCGGUUCAUCGCUCGCGGUGUUUAACUGGCGUGUCCGCGGGACGUCCUGCCGGUGGGCUUAGCCCGCGAGGGCGGCCCAACUUCCCGAUCCCGCCGCGGUGCUCUUCGCUGAGUGUCGAGGCGGGCCGGCACGUUUACUGUGAACAAAUUAGAGUGCUUAAAGCAAGAUAAAAUUUCGCCUGAAUAUUCUGUGCAUGGAAUAAUGGAAUAGGACCUCGGUUCUAUUUUGUUGGUUUUCGGAACCCCGAGGUAAUGAUUAAUAGGAACGGAUGGGGGCAUUCGUAUUGCGACGUUAGAGGUGAAAUUCUUGGAUCGUCGCAAGACGGACGGAAGCGAAAGCAUUUGCCAAAAA